UAUCUUCAUUGGCUCCUUUUUGACCUGGCCACCAUCUUAAAGAAAGAAAGAAAAUCAUCAAUUUUUCUUUCAGGUCUUGUUUUUGGUCUGAGAACAGUUUUGGACCUGACUCUACCUUUCUGUGUCGCUCAGCUUCUACCAGGGCAGGAGCAGAGUCUGUGUCCUCCUUAGAGACCUGCACCCUCCCACCCUGGACUCUCACCCCAUGAUCCCAGAUUUCCUAGACAGGGCUGGGCUCUGGGUUUCAUGCUUCCUCCUCCACGCCAUGUCCUGUCCAUUCUGAGGAUGGUCAUGUGAGUCUGCUUCAGUGUCUGUGGAAGACACUGAAUAAAUUCAAAAUGUGGUAUUUCUGAUUUGUUCCCCUUCAGAUCCCCCCCCACACACACAUGACCCACCACCCCACCUCUGACCAGAAUGUCACCUUGAAAUGCUGGGCCCUGGGUUUCUACCCUGCGGAGAUCACCCUGACCUGGCAACGAGAUGGGGAGAACCUGACCAAGGACAUGGAGCUGGUGGACACCAGGCCUGGUGGAGAUGGAACCUUCCAGAAAUGGGCUGCUCUAGUGGUGCUUUCUAGAGAGGAACAGAGAUAUAUGUGUCAUGUGCAGCAUGAGGGGCUGCUGGAUCCCCAAGUCCUGAGGAUGGGGACAUGGGCAUAGGGGCUUUUCUCAGGAGGAUCAGAGACCUUUCUGGGGACCUUCAGAGGAUGAGGCCUGGGGCUCAAGCUCUCCCUUUCCCUUCCCUUCCCGAGCCCCCUCCUCAGUCCUCCAUCCCCUCUGGCCUGGUUCUCCUUGGACCUCUGCUCACUGGGGCUGCGGUGGCUGCAGCUGUGAUGUGGAGGAAGAAGCGCUCAGGUAGGGAAGGGAGUGGGGGAUCCUGUCUACUGGGGGCUUUCAAGUCCCAGGGAGAACUUGCCUCCCCUGGUUGAUGAGCAGUACUAACCACACAUGUGUGGCACUCAGAGGGAAUUUGGUCUAGUCCCCUUCAUCUCCUUUCUUCAUUUUUCCAGUCUUGACUUGGAUCACAGUUCUGGAAAGAUUCCUUUAGGCUUCUAACGUGGUCUCAUGUGACAUCUCUUCCCACAGGUGGGAAAGGAGGAAACUACACUCAGGCUGCAGGUGGCGACAGUGUCCAGGGCUCUGCUGAUUCUCUCAGACCCUGAAGUAUCUUUCAAAAUAAAGCAGAUUUAAUAAAAUUA